GGGGGUAUAGCUCAGUGGUAGAGUGUGUGUGCUUAGCAAACAUGAGGCCUUGGGUUUGAUUUCCAGUAAUCCCC
rnacentral:tRNA from 1 species